GCAGUGCUGGUUCAGUGGUAGAAUUCUUGUCUUCUAUACAGGAGGCCCAGGUUUGAUUCCUGGCCAUUACA